GGUGAACGCUGGCGGUAGGCCUAACACAUGCAAGUCGAACGGCAGCACAGGAGAGCUUGCUCUCUGGGUGGCGAGUGGCGGACGGGUGAGGAAUACAUCGGAAUCUACUUUUUCGUGGGGGGUAACGUAGGGAAACUUACGCUAAUACCGCAUACGACCUACGGGUGAAAGCAGGGGACCUUCGGGCCUUGCGCGAUUGAAUGAGCCGAUGUCGGAUUAGCUAGUUGGCGGGGUAAAGGCCCACCAAGGCGAUGAUCCGUAGCUGGUCUGAGAGGAUGAUCAGCCGCACUGGAACUGAGACACGGUCCAGACUCCUACGGGAGGCAGCAGUGGGGAAUAUUGGACAAUGGGCGCAAGCCUGAUCCAGCCAUACCGCGUGGGUGAAGAGGGCCUUCGGGUUGUAAAGCCCUUUUGUUGGGAAAGAAAUCCAGCUGGCUAAUACCCGGUUGGGAUGACGGUACCCAAAGAAUAAGCACCGGCUAACUUCGUGCCAGCAGCCGCAGUAA
rnacentral:rRNA from 1 species